UUCCAGGUGGUCUAGUGGUUAGGACUCAGUGCUUUCACUGCUAUGGCUUUGGUUCAGUCCCUGAUCUGGGAG
rfam:Sus scrofa chromosome 6.